rnacentral:misc_RNA from 1 species
GAAAUGCGAUAAGUAGUGUGAAUUGCAGAAUUCAGUGAAUCAUCGAAUCUUUGAACGCACAUUGCGCCCCUCGGUAUUCCGUGGGGCAUGCCUGUUCGAGCGUCAUCUACACCCUCAGAACCCCUUGCGGGAUCUGGCGUUGGGGAUUGGCAUCCAGCCAGCCCCGAAAUCUAGUGGCGGUCCCUCCGCGACCUCCCCUGUGCAGUAGCGAUACCUCGCAGCGGGACAGCGGUCUGACCACGCCGUAAAACCCCCAACUUCUCAAGGUUGACCUCGAAUCAGGUAGGAAUACCCGCUGGACUUAAGC